ACACGUAGGGGGCGAGCGUUGUUCGGAAUCAUUGGGCGUAAAGGGCGUGCAGGCGGUCCUGCAAGUCCGGCGUGAAAGACCCCGGCCCAACCGGGGGGACGCGCUGGAAACUGCAGGGCUUGAGUACAGGAGGGGAUGCCGGAAUUCCAGGUGUAGGGGUGAAAUCUGUAGAUAUCUGGAAGAACACCAAUGGCGAAGGCAGGCAUCUGGCCAUGUACUGACGCUGAGACGCGAAGGUGCGGGGAGCAAACAGGUUUAGAUACCCUGGUAGUCCGCACAGUAAACGAUGUGCACCAGGUGGCGGGGGGUCGACCCCCGGUACCGUAGCUAACGCAUUAAGUGCACCGCCUGGGGAGUAUGCUCGCAAGGGUGAAACUCAAAGGAAUUGACGGGG
rnacentral:rRNA from 1 species